GGUUAAGCGACUAAGCGUACACGGUGGAUGCCCUGGCAGUCAGAGGCGAUGAAGGACGUGCUAAUCUGCGAUAAGCGUCGGUAAGGUGAUAUGAACCGUUAUAACCGGCGAUUUCCGAAUGGGGAAACCCAGUGUGAUUCGUCACACUAUCAUUAACUGAAUCCAUAGGUUAAUGAGGCGAACCGGGGGAACUGAAACAUCUAAGUACCCCGAGGAAAAGAAAUCAACCGAGAUUCCCCCAGUAGCGGCGAGCGAACGGGGAGGAGCCCAGAGCCUGAAUCAGUGUGUGUGUUAGUGGAAGCGUCUGGAAAGGCGCGCGAUACAGGGUGACAGCCCCGUACACAAAAAUGCACAUGCUGUGAGCUCGAUGAGUAGGGCGGGACACGUGGUAUCCUGUCUGAAUAUGGGGGGACCAUCCUCCAAGGCUAAAUACUCCUGACUGACCGAUAGUGAACCAGUACCGUGAGGGAAAGGCGAAAAGAACCCCGGCGAGGGGAGUGAAAAAGAACCUGAAACCGUGUACGUACAAGCAGUGGGAGCACGCUUAGGCGUGUGACUGCGUACCUUUUGUAUAAUGGGUCAGCGACUUAUAUUCUGUAGCAAGGUUAACCGAAUAGGGGAGCCGAAGGGAAACCGAGUCUUAACUGGGCGUUAAGUUGCAGGGUAUAGACCCGAAACCCGGUGAUCUAGCCAUGGGCAGGUUGAAGGUUGGGUAACACUAACUGGAGGACCGAACCGACUAAUGUUGAAAAAUUAGCGGAUGACUUGUGGCUGGGGGUGAAAGGCCAAUCAAACCGGGAGAUAGCUGGUUCUCCCCGAAAGCUAUUUAGGUAGCGCCUCGUGAAUUCAUCUCCGGGGGUAGAGCACUGUUUCGGCAAGGGGGUCAUCCCGACUUACCAACCCGAUGCAAACUGCGAAUACCGGAGAAUGUUAUCACGGGAGACACACGGCGGGUGCUAACGUCCGUCGUGAAGAGGGAAACAACCCAGACCGCCAGCUAAGGUCCCAAAGUCAUGGUUAAGUGGGAAACGAUGUGGGAAGGCCCAGACAGCCAGGAUGUUGGCUUAGAAGCAGCCAUCAUUUAAAGAAAGCGUAAUAGCUCACUGGUCGAGUCGGCCUGCGCGGAAGAUGUAACGGGGCUAAACCAUGCACCGAAGCUGCGGCAGCGACGCUUAUGCGUUGUUGGGUAGGGGAGCGUUCUGUAAGCCUGCGAAGGUGUGCUGUGAGGCAUGCUGGAGGUAUCAGAAGUGCGAAUGCUGACAUAAGUAACGAUAAAGCGGGUGAAAAGCCCGCUCGCCGGAAGACCAAGGGUUCCUGUCCAACGUUAAUCGGGGCAGGGUGAGUCGACCCCUAAGGCGAGGCCGAAAGGCGUAGUCGAUGGGAAACAGGUUAAUAUUCCUGUACUUGGUGUUACUGCGAAGGGGGGACGGAGAAGGCUAUGUUGGCCGGGCGACGGUUGUCCCGGUUUAAGCGUGUAGGCUGGUUUUCCAGGCAAAUCCGGAAAACUAAGGCUGAGGCGUGAUGACGAGGCACUACGGUGCUGAAGCAACAAAUGCCCUGCUUCCAGGAAAAGCCUCUAAGCAUCAGGUAACAUCAAAUCGUACCCCAAACCGACACAGGUGGUCAGGUAGAGAAUACCAAGGCGCUUGAGAGAACUCGGGUGAAGGAACUAGGCAAAAUGGUGCCGUAACUUCGGGAGAAGGCACGCUGAUAUGUAGGUGAAGUCCCUCGCGGAUGGAGCUGAAAUCAGUCGAAGAUACCAGCUGGCUGCAACUGUUUAUUAAAAACACAGCACUGUGCAAACACGAAAGUGGACGUAUACGGUGUGACGCCUGCCCGGUGCCGGAAGGUUAAUUGAUGGGGUUAGCGCAAGCGAAGCUCUUGAUCGAAGCCCCGGUAAACGGCGGCCGUAACUAUAACGGUCCUAAGGUAGCGAAAUUCCUUGUCGGGUAAGUUCCGACCUGCACGAAUGGCGUAAUGAUGGCCAGGCUGUCUCCACCCGAGACUCAGUGAAAUUGAACUCGCUGUGAAGAUGCAGUGUACCCGCGGCAAGACGGAAAGACCCCGUGAACCUUUACUAUAGCUUGACACUGAACAUUGAGCCUUGAUGUGUAGGAUAGGUGGGAGGCUUUGAAGUGUGGACGCCAGUCUGCAUGGAGCCGACCUUGAAAUACCACCCUUUAAUGUUUGAUGUUCUAACGUUGACCCGUAAUCCGGGUUGCGGACAGUGUCUGGUGGGUAGUUUGACUGGGGCGGUCUCCUCCUAAAGAGUAACGGAGGAGCACGAAGGUUGGCUAAUCCUGGUCGGACAUCAGGAGGUUAGUGCAAUGGCAUAAGCCAGCUUGACUGCGAGCGUGACGGCGCGAGCAGGUGCGAAAGCAGGUCAUAGUGAUCCGGUGGUUCUGAAUGGAAGGGCCAUCGCUCAACGGAUAAAAGGUACUCCGGGGAUAACAGGCUGAUACCGCCCAAGAGUUCAUAUCGACGGCGGUGUUUGGCACCUCGAUGUCGGCUCAUCACAUCCUGGGGCUGAAGUAGGUCCCAAGGGUAUGGCUGUUCGCCAUUUAAAGUGGUACGCGAGCUGGGUUUAGAACGUCGUGAGACAGUUCGGUCCCUAUCUGCCGUGGGCGCUGGAGAACUGAGGGGGGCUGCUCCUAGUACGAGAGGACCGGAGUGGACGCAUCACUGGUGUUCGGGUUGUCAUGCCAAUGGCACUGCCCGGUAGCUAAAUGCGGAAGAGAUAAGUGCUGAAAGCAUCUAAGCACGAAACUUGCCCCGAGAUGAGUUCUCCCUGACUCCUUGAGAGUCCUGAAGGAACGUUGAAGACGACGACGUUGAUAGGCCGGGUGUGUAAGCGCAGCGAUGCGUUGAGCUAACCGGUACUAAUGAACCGUGAGGCUUAACCUU
rnacentral:rRNA from 1 species